rnacentral:misc_RNA from 1 species
AGAAAAUUGAAGCAGCUAGGGAAAUUAGGAAAUUGGUGAGGAAAUCUUCCUUUUCCGGUAAGACUCGUUCAAGGUUUGCCGCCGCCGGCGUUAUUCCGCCGUUGGUUGAUAUGCUUCAGCCUUGUUCUUAUUCUCUACUUGCUCGUGAAGCUGCUUUAUUAGCUCUCCUUAAUCUUGCCUCUCGUAAUGAAAGAAACAAAAUAAGGAUCGUUG